UACGUAGGGGGCAAGCGUUGUCCGGAAUCAUUGGGCGUAAAGCGCGUGUAGGCGGCUUGGUAAGUCCGCUCUGAAAGCCCGGGGCUCAACCCCGGGAGGCGGGUGGAUACUGUCAAGCUCGAGUCCGGAAGAGGCGAGUGGAAUUCCUGGUGGAGCGGUGAAAUGCGCAGAUAUCAGGAGGAACACCAAUGGCGAAGGCAGCUCGCUGGGACGUGACUGACGCUGAGACGCGAAAGCGUGGGGAGCAAACAGG
rnacentral:rRNA from 1 species